rnacentral:rRNA from 1 species
GUUGAACGCUGGCGGCGUGCUUAACACAUGCAAGUCGAACGAUGACGCCCAUCUUGCUGGGUGGUUUAGUGUCGCACGGGUGAGUAACACGUAAGUAACCUUCCCUUAACUCUGGGAUAAGCCUGGGGAACUGGGUCUAAUUCCGGCUAGGAGCGUCCACCGCAAGGUGGGUGUUGGACGGAUUUAUCGGUUUUGGAUGGACUCGCGGCCUAUCAGCUUGUUGGUGAGGUAAUGGCUCACCAAGGCGACGACGGGUAGCCGGCCUGAGAGGGUGACCGGCCACACUGGGACUGAGACACGGCCCAGACUCCUACGGGAGGCAGCAGUGGGGAAUAUUGCACAAUGGGCGCAAGCCUGAUGCAGCGACGCCGCGUGAGGGAUGACGGCCUUCGGGUUGUAAACCUCUUUCAGUAGGGAAGAAGCGAAAGUGACGGUACCUGCAGAAGAAGCACCGGCUAACUACGUG